GACGAACGCUGGCGGCGCGCCUAACACAUGCAAGUCGAACGGAGCUUAGAGAGCUUGCUUUUUAAGCUUAGUGGCGAACGGGUGAGUAACGCGUGAGUAACCUGCCCUAGAGUGGGGGACAACAGUUGGAAACGACUGCUAAUACCGCAUAAGCCCACGGUACCGCAUGGUACUGAGGGAAAAGGAUUUAUUCGCUUUAGGAUGGACUCGCGUCCAAUUAGCUAGUUGGUGAGGUAACGGCCCACCAAGGCGACGAUUGGUAGCCGGACUGAGAGGUUGAACGGCCACAUUGGGACUGAGACACGGCCCAGACUCCUACGGGAGGCAGCAGUGGGGGAUAUUGCACAAUGGGGGAAACCCUGAUGCAGCGACGCCGCGUGGAGGAAGAAGGUUUUCGGAUUGUAAACUCCUGUCGUUAGGGACGAUAAUGACGGUACCUAACAAGAAAGCACCGGC
rnacentral:rRNA from 1 species